AGCAGCCGCGGUAAUUCCAGCUCCAAUAGCGUAUAUUAAAGUUGUUGCAGUUAAAAAGCUCGUAGUUGAAUUUCGGGAUUGGCGCAUCGGUCGUGCCUCACGGGGUAUGAACUGGUGCAGUCAAUUUCUCACCUUCUGGAGAACCGCGAUGUCCUUAAUUGGAUGCCGCGGGGAACCAGGACCUUUACUUUGAAAAAAUUAGAGUGUUUAAAGCAGGCAUUUUUGCUUGAAUACAUUAGCAUGGAAUAAUAAAAUAGGACGGCAUGGUUCUAUUUUGUUGGUUUCUAGGACCACCGUAAUGAUUAAUAGGGAUAGUUGGGGGCAUUAGUAUUCAAUUGUCAGAGGUGAAAUUCUUGGAUUUAUUGAAGACUAACUACUGCGAAAGCAUUUGCCAAGGAUGUUUUCAUUAAUCAAGAACGAAAGUUAGGGGAUCGAAGACGAUCAGAUACCGUCGUAGUCUUAACCAUAAACUAUGCCGACUAGGAAUCAGACGAUGUUAAUUUUUAAUGACUCGUUGGCU
rnacentral:rRNA from 1 species